AUAGAGAUCUAGCACGCGAAGCAGUUCGAAAGUCCUUGGUUCUGUUGAAAAAUGGAAAAGAUAUUAGCAAACCCUUUCUUCCAUUGGAUAGGAAAGCAAAGAGAAUCCUUGUUGCUGGGACUCAUGUCGAUGAUCUUGGAUUUUAGUAUGGAGGUUGGACCAAAACUUGGUAUGGAUGUAGUGGGAGGAUUACCAUUGAUCUAAAUGCCACAAGAACUUCAAAAUGAAGAGGAAUCCUAGGAAAGUAAAAUGGACCAAGGCGUAUAGGCAGGUGCAUGGAAAGGAUAUGACUCAGGAUUCAACCUUUGAGUUUGAGAGAAAGCGAAACAGGCCAGAGAGAUAUGACAGGAAUCUUGCGGAGAACGUCCUUAAGGCCAUUCCAAAGAUUGAAAAGAUCAGAGUCACCAAGGAGGAAAGGCACUAUAA